UGUCGCUGCAGACGGAAACUGACUGGGGUCAAUUCAAGUCAUGCAGGCUGUGAGAAACGCGGGGUCGCGGUUCCUGCGGUCCUGGACUUGGCCCCAGACAGCCGGGGUCGUGGCCAGAACGCCGGCCGGGACCAUCUGCACAGGCGCUCGACAGCUCCAAGACGCUGCGGCCAAGCAGAAAGUUGAACAGAACGCGGCUCCCAGCCACACCAAGUUCAGGUGAGCCCCACUUGGACCAGCCCUCUGGAGACCCGCAACCCCUGACUCUUGCCCGACACCCUCCAGAGUCAGAACCAGUGAAUUUUCAGCUAUGUCACUUGCUAUCCGUGGGACCUUAUGCAAAUAAAUCUGAGCCUCAGCCUUCUCAUCUAAAAAUGCGGAUAAUGCUGAGAGAGGUUGUGAGAAUCAGAUGAGCCGUGGUACAGAGUAAAUGUUCAGUGAACAUUCGUUAAA
rnacentral:lncRNA from 10 species